rnacentral:tRNA from 1 species
GCGGGCAUAGCUCAGCUGGUUAGAGCGUCAGAUUGUGGCUCUGAAGGUCACGGGUUCGAAGCCCGUUGCUCGCCCA